GACAGAGGAGCCAAGCGUUGUCCGGACUGACUGGGCGUAAAGCGCACGCAGGCGGCGCUGUGCGUGGGGUGUGAAAGCUCUUGGCUUAACUGAGAGAGGCCAUCCCAUACGGCAGCGCUCGAGCGAUGCAGAGGUCCGCGGAAUUGCCGGUGUAGUGGUGAAAUGCGUAGAUAUCGGGAGGAACACCAGUGGCGAAGGCGACUUCCUGGCCUGUUCUUGACGCUGAGGCGCGAAAGCUAGGGUAGCAAACGGGG
rnacentral:rRNA from 1 species